rnacentral:tRNA from 1 species
GGGCCUGUGGCGGAACUGGCAGACGCAGCGGACUUAAAAUCCGCUUCCCGGAAACGGGAGUGAGGGUUCGAGCCCCUCCGGGCCCA